UUGACUUUCCAAUUAAAGAAGCCAAGCAAGAAACAACAGCUAAGACUGAGCCACGCCGGACAAGUUUUGAAAGACUGCAUUCUCCACUCGCAGCAGAUGCAGGCAAGGUUAAUAGGCUCCGGAGUAUGAUGGAUACAUUUAGAAACAAGGACAAAAGCUUAUUUUCUCACGCAGAAAUCUCCAACUGUGUUUUUUGGGUAUGCUCCAAGUUUCAGCUGCUUGGCAAGGAGCUUGACGUUCCCUACACAAGAUCCAGGGCAUUUAUGUCCAGGGAUAUCUCUUCGCUAGGCUGUCCAGCUCCUGAUGCUUUCCCCAGAAUAAGGCACUGCUGUGCAGGACAUCUUUGACGUUUCGCAUACAAUGGUACAACCAAACUCAGGUUUUGCUUUGGAAAGCCUUGUGUCAAGUGGCUGGAUGGCAGGUUUCAAAACAUAAGAGAAAAAAUGAUUUUCUGGAUUAGCUGAAUUUCACUUUGAUUAUUUUUUUGAAUCAAAAAUUCCUUUUU